rfam:Oscillibacter sp. KLE 1745 genomic scaffold Scaffold124, whole genome shotgun sequence.
CCGGGUGUAGCGCAGUUGGUAGCGCGCUUGGUUCGGGACCAAGAGGCCGUGGGUUCAAAUCCCGCCACUCGGA